GCCAGCAUGGUGUAGUGGUUUGAGUGUUGGACUUCCACUCUGGAUACCUGGGUUUGAUUCCCCAUUCUGCCA
rnacentral:tRNA from 1 species